UUUGGGCCCCUUAAUUAACCUUCCUUUAAUUAGAGCUCAUUUGCAUAUGAUUAAGGGCUAAUUUGCAUGGCGGGGUAGGGAGGGCGGCUGUCAGGUCUACCCGUAAGGUGAUAGACCCCAGAGGGCAAACGGGAUAGCAGGUCAACCCAUAGAAAGAACCCAUAGGGAGUGGCUAUCAGGUCAACCCAUAGAAAUAACCCAUAGGGAGUGGCUAUCAGGUCAACCCAUAGAAAUAACCCAUAGGGAGUGGCUAUCAGGUCAACCCAUAGAAAUAACCCAUAGGAAGUGGCUAUCUGGUCAACCCAUAGAAAUAACCCAUAGGAAGUGGCUAUCAGGUCAACCCAUGGGAAUCACCCAUAGGAAGUGGCUAUCAGGUCAACCCAUGGAAAUAACCCAUAGAACGUGGCUAUCAGGUCAACCCAUGGAAAUAACCCAUAGGAAGUGGCUAUCAGGUCAACCCAUGGAAAUAACCCAUAGGAAGUGGCUAUCAGGUCAACCCAUAGAAAUAACCCAUAGGAAGUGGCUAUCAGGUCAACCCAUGGAAAUCACCCAUAGAAAGUGGCUAUCAGGUCAACCCAUGGAAAUCACCCAUAGGAAGUGGCUAUCAGGUCAACCCAUAGAAAGAACCCAUAGGGAGUGGCUAUCAGGUCAACCCAUGGAAAUAACCCAUAGGGAGUGGCUGUCAGGUCAACCCAUGGAAAUAACCCAUAGGAAGUGGCUAUCAGGUCAACCCAUGGAAAUAACCCAUAGGAAGUGGCUAUCAGGUCAACCCAUAGAAAUAACCCAUAGGGAGUGGCUGUCAGGUCAACCCAUAGAAAUAACCCAUAGAAAGUGGCUAUCAGGUCAACCCAUGGAAAUCACCCAUAGGAAGUGGCUAUCAGGUCAACCCAUGGAAAUAACCCAUAGGAAGUGGCUAUCAGGUCAACCCAUGGAAAUAACCUCUCGGUUGAUGUGGACCAUUCUUGGUCGACGUUGACCGCCCAUGGGCUGGCGUUGACCACAGCUCAUUUGCAUGCCCCGGGAGCUCAUUUGCGUAACUCCAAAGCUCAUUUGCAUCUUCUCCCC